UGCGGCGUCGUCUAACUGGCAGGACGCCGGGCUUUGGACCCGGAAAUCGAGGUUCGACUCCUCGCGCCGCAGCCA
rnacentral:tRNA from 1 species